rnacentral:tRNA from 1 species
UCAGCUCGUUUGGAGGCAUCUUUCCGUUCCACCAAGGAAAAGCGAACAUCGGCAGGGGACAAACAGGGAGGAGCCCCGAAACAAAUGGUUUCGACAGCUGCUAGGAACGUCCCCCCAAAUCCCACUCCUGGGGCCAGCGAGCCACGAGCAGCGGGGUCCUCGCAGCCAUCCCAGCACGUCGUCAAGGCGACGGCUCUGCUCCAAGAUGUAUUUCUAUUUAGCACCUGUUAAUCUUAUUAGGUUAUUAUAGCUUUGUCAUUAAUUUAUGAAUAGGAGAGAUUAUAACUGCUUUUUGUGUAUCUGAAAAAAUAGUUAUAAACUCUUUGAUUUAUGCUCUUUCAGGUGCUCUAAUACUAUUAAUAUAAGUUUGGGCAGUGUUCAUCAAAGAGAGAUAUGGUGGAACUAAAACUAAACCUGAGAAAAAAAUCUCAGCCUGCAGCUAAGGACUUUGUCGGGAAUUCCCUGGCGGUCCCGUGGUUAGGACUCUGCACUUCCACUGCAGUGGGCCUGGGCUGGAUCUCUGGUCAGGGAACUAAGAUCCCGCAAGCCGCGCUGUGCAGCCAACUGAAUUAUUUAAAAAAUAAGGACUAUACAAAAUUAUCUCACUUAAAGGAAUAUUUCAAAACAGCCUACCUCCUGGUGCUGCCAGCCAGAAGCACUACAGACUACGACAUCUAGGAAAAAUCAGCUAAAAAUGUAACCUUACUCAGUACAGUUACUUCAUAGAAAUCCCCCAACAAUGAUAAUAGCCUCCAGCAGCGGUCGGCCUUGUGAUUUCCAACACCCACCACAGACCACAUUGCCUGGUAGUUUGAAAAGCUGGGCAUAUACUAAAGUUCAUUUCAACAGGAACACAAAAAUUAAAAAGAGGAAAUAAACACUAAGCAUCUGUCAAAUCAUUGGUUGAGGGGGGAGGGAGGGAAGAUGAAGAUAGAGACCUAUGCUAACUUAAACCACCACGGCCUUGAAUUAUGAAGUUACCUAAUAGCCAACCAAGAGUUUUAAUUUUAUUACUGAUUGUUUUCAAAUAUUUUGUCAGGGACUUCCCUAACGGUCCAGUCGUUAACACUUCGCCUUCCAAUGCAGGGGGUGCGGGUUUGAUGCCUGGUCGGGGAGCUAAGGUCCCACAUGCCUUGAGGCCAAAAAAAACAUAAAACAGAAGCAAUAUUGUAACAAAGACUUUUAAAAUGGUCCACAUC